CCCGCCCUGCUGCAGUGAACGGUUGCUGAUUACGUCUCCUAAGGCUUUUGUUUUGCCACAGCCCCACUUCCAAAGGACAAGUUUCUGUUCACAGAUCACACUGCUUACCUGGUCAGACAGCCCAUAAUCCCUUUUUAAUGGAAUGCAGGGGCAACGGUCCUCUCUCUGCCCUCUCCAACACACAUGUUAUUAACGGCAAACUUUGAUCUGCAGUAAUGGAAGGUUGGUGAGAGUGUUUGCAACACGGAAAUCUGCAAAUGCUACAAAUCAGGACUUUUUCUUCCCUGGAGAGCGGCAUGGUGAACGUUGACCAUCACACCACUGAAAGAGAGUUAUCUGAACCAGAAUGAGGAGCUAACUUAGCAAAGACCAGCAGCAAAGUUCACCGGAGAGAAAUGGUAGAAAGAGACAGUAGGAGCUGAAAAGGUAAAUGUCACAACACCCAGCCUGCCAUACUUUGAAAUUCAACAUGGAUUUAACAGAUUGCAAAGUGUCUUAGUCAUGUAAUUCAUGGUUGAAGAUCUCUUGAUGUCAGGGACUUAUGCAUUUGCUCCCUCUCCAUCAC
rnacentral:lncRNA from 10 species